GAAAAUAAAAGAAAAGAGAAGAAAUAAAUAAUAGGGAAAGAAAAUGAGUAGUAAUUUAUAUAAGUAAAUUAGCAACCAAUUUUAGAAACCAAUUAUGGUUGCUAAUUUCUUUUCAAAAUUGGGCAGAAAUUUUUUAAAGAAAAAUUUUAUAAUCGAUUUAUAAUUAAUUAUAAAAUUGGUUACUAAUAGCAAUCAAUUUCAAUUGAUUGGAAAAAAAUUGAUUGCAAAAA
rnacentral:misc_RNA from 1 species